CUCAGGUUCAUUUUCUGCCCAAAUCACAAACAAGCAACGAUAAGUGUGACGUUUAUGAUUUUUUUUUUAAACUUUGGUUUGUGGGCAGACGUCUAUACGCAAGUGUAUGAAUUGUGUGAAGUAUUUUCCUCUUUAGAAGUUUCCUUGACAACUGGUUGCUAAAGCAAUAAAUGUGAAAGUAGGUCGUGAUGAGAAGCCACUCUGUUUGAAACACGACCAGCCACAUGGCUAAACAUGUGCAGACUGAGAGCUGCGCUCAUCUCUAUCUGGCUCAGCAGCAGGUGAAGGCACGGUGGCACUCCAUGUGCAAUUCAAAACAACAGCCCUCCUAGUGGAAAGCACUCAGCUGAAACGUGAGCAUCGCUCUCUAAGAGGUCACAUGCAGCCCAGCGUGAGGUGGAUGACCUCUUCGUAGUCCAUCUCUAUCCCCCGUGCCUGCUUCUGCGCAGCCUCAGCCAGCUGGACCUGGGUCUGCAGAGAUCUUCUCUCAUCCACAGCCGCUUUUGCCUCCUGCAGCAGCACAGUAAGAGUCAGA